CCUCCAUUUCUUGGCGAGGACCAGGCGUGUAGUCCUGAUCUCCGUUAUGUACAGAGGAAGAAGGAAAGGUCUCGAGCCCUCUCGGCAUCAUGUCUUCAGUACCGGCGGCUUCUCACACGCCGGUUCUAUCCUCAAGCGCCGGGACACGC
ensembl:snoRNA